rnacentral:rRNA from 1 species
UACGGAAGGUGCGAGCGUUGUCCGGAUUUAUUGGGCGUAAAGAGCGUGUAGGCGGCCAUGUAGGUCCGUUGUGAAAACUCGAGGCUCAACCUCGAGACGGCGAUGGAAACCAUGUGGCUAGAGUCCGGAAGAGGAGAGUGGAAUUCCUGGUGUAGCGGUGAAAUGCGCAGAUAUCAGGAAGAACACCCGUGGCGAAGGCGGCUCUCUAGUACGGUACUGACGCUGAGACGCGAAAGCGUGGGGAGCGAACAGG